rnacentral:lncRNA from 1 species
CUCCACUCGACUGGAUUCAAAAUGGGUUAUCCAGAAACACUUCAAAAAGAACAGCCAUCCUAAAGAUAAGUCUUCAAGAUAAGAUUGAGCAUGUCCGCCAACCUAGGCACCCAUUUGCCUGAAGAUUUUUGGUGACACCUGAAGAGGUUGACUCUUAGGUUCCUCUCUCUAAACUCCAGAAAGACCACUCCUCUUCUGACACUUAAUUUGCUUCUAUGUGUUAAUGUUAUAGAUUAUUGAGCAGAAGCUCACACAUGCUCUGGGCACUCAGUAUUCCAGUUCCUAUCUUAAGUCCCCCUUGACUUUCCACCUGAGCACUUUUUCUUAGCCAAAGUGACAAGGAGGUAAUGUUUCCCUCUCUACCUACUGGGAGCAGCCCUGGUGGAUGGGAAUUAGAAGGUAAGUUCUUCAGCUUAUUCACAUCUCUGGGCAUGGGGGUGUGGGGGACCAUGGGCAUGUUUGAUUCUGUCUGCCAGAGUUCUCCAGAGUGAUGAACCCACUCGCCAUCAGAGGUACUCUGGUGCCACACCCCAUAAUACUCUUUAUUGGAUUCCUUCUCUUCCCCAUGUUACUUCCCCAUUCCCUAACCAGUGCUUCCUGGGCACAUCUCCCAGUGGCUGCUGUGCUGAAAUCUUGGUCUCAGCAUCUGCUCCUGGCCAAACUAAGACAAUUAUAUUAUUGCUUUCUUAUAUGUACUGCUUUUCUGAAAUCGCUAAUGGUAGACUUUUUAACUUUUAUAUUACGAAUUAUAAUACAUAUAAAAUGCACACUUUCUGCAUGUACAGCUCAAGGGAUUAUUGCAAAGUGAACACCAGCAUGUCCACCACGCAUGACAGAAAAUAAAACAGCGCCAGUGCUCCCAGAAGUCCCUGUGCUGCCUCCGCCCUUUCUUACAUGUCCCUCCUUCCCUAGCCACUAUCCUGACUUCUAAAACCAUCAAUAACUUUGCCUACUUUUGAACUUGAUAUAAAUGCACUUAUUCAAUAUACAUUCUUUCAGGUGUGACUUCUUUAACUCGCUAGUGUUUGUUGCCUUUCAUCUAUGAUGCUGUACAGGGUACAGUUCAUUAACUUGCACUGUGUCGUGCUCCAUUGUAUGGAUAUACCACAAUGUACUUAUCUAUUCUAUCAUGGAUAGUCAUUCUGGGUGAUUACAAAAACAAAACAAACAAACAAAAAAUGCUGCUGUGAACAUUCUUGUAUGUGCACAUGCAUACACAAUUCUGUUGGCUACAUACAUCAGGGUGGUCUCAUUGUAGACUUGGGGGCACUUGUGAUACUGGGUGGGAGAAAUGAUUUGUUUUUAGCAGGGGACCCUCUCUGGGUGCCCAUAAUAUGAUACCAUGCAUGCAGUUGGGUCCUUAUUAUUGCCAUUUAUAAAUGUGGCUA